CUCUCGCUAUUCGCCUUUUGCAUAAAGGUUCAGUUUGGUUAUUUUUAACACUUCAUGGUGCCUUUCCUCUGGGCUUUCUCAUGCAAAGUGCAAAGCGAGGAGAGAGGUUCAUCGGGGAAAGGAGGAGGGAGAAGAGACCGAAGACAAAAAAAAAAAAUCAAAGUCGAUAUCGCAACCAAAAUAAUAACAAUCAUAAAAAAAAAAAAGGAGAGAGAGAGAAAAAAAAAAAAAAAACACAACUCAACCCCAAAGCUACGGCAAGAAGAUGAAAAAUAUUUUAAAGGUUUCAUCCAGCAGGAGAGUUUAAAAGCAUUGCAGAGUUUUAUAGCGCUCCUGACGUCAGCCUCCGAAUGGCAAAUUGGCUGGGCGGGCGGCCCAAUGGGCUGCCUGCAGCCGCCGGCAUUAGCAUAAUAGUAUAGAAACAAGGAAACUUUUCGGGGCUGUCAAUCAGGGCGCAAUCAGCUGACUGUCAGCUGGGAGCGCCGUAACCCCUUCCUGCCCGCCCCGUUCACCGGGGACCGGGCACCGGGCUGGGGCCGCUCCUCCCGCCGGGACGCGCCGUCGGGUGUCCGCCCGGCUCCGCUCCGCUCCGCUCCGCGCUGCCUUGCUUUGUCCUGCUUUGUCCUGCUCUGUCCUGCUUUGUCCUGCUCUGCCCCGGGGUGCGGAGCCCCCGGGUGCUCCUGGCCGGCCGGGCACCCGAGGGCACCGGGGGACUUGGCCCGGGGGCGUGCGGGGACGGCCCGAGGGAGGGGGCUGCUCCUGGGGGCUCCGCGGGGCUCGGCGGUGCUGCCGGGCUCAGCCGGGCUCCAUCCACUACCUGGUGCCGCUACCGAGACCCCCGGGCCGCCCCCCGGCGGCGGCGGCUCCCCCCUGGGUCUGCCGCUUGCUGCCGGCAGCGAUCGUUCCCCGGCCGUCCCCAGCAGAGAGCCUCCCCUCCCGGUGCCCCCCGGCCGGGGCUGGAGGGGGGGGAGCCGUGCGAGCGCGGAGCGGGCUGCACCCGGCGGUGCCGAGCGGCGGCGGAGCGGCUCCGUUCAAACCUCGACAGCGCCAUCUCUCGUCGAAAGUUCUGCACAGCCCCACAACGCACACGCACAGAGAGCCGUGGACAUCUGCUGGGUUUAUCUUGCAGCUGAUAUUCGUGACAUACUUAAUACGACUUAA
rnacentral:lncRNA from 1 species